GGACUACUGGGGUUUCUAAUCCUAUUUGCUCCCCACGCUUUCGUGCCUCAACGUCAGGGCCAGAAUAGUUAACUGCCUUCGCCUUAUUGGUGUUCUUCCCGAUAUCUACACAUUUUACCGCUCCACCGGGAGUUCCGUUAACCUCUCCUGUCCUCUAGCAAAACAGUAUUAAUGGCUUCCACGAGGUUGAGCCCCGAUUUUCCACCACUAACUUAUUCUGCCGCCUACGCACCCUUUACGCCCAAUAAUUCCGGAUAACGUUCGCCACCUACGUCUUACCGCGGCUGCUGGCAC
rnacentral:rRNA from 1 species